AACGAACGCUGGCGGCAGGCUUAACACAUGCAAGUCGAGCGCCCCGCAAGGGGAGCGGCAGACGGGUGAGUAACGCGUGGGAAUCUACCCAUCUCUACGGAACAACUCUGGGAAACUGGAGCUAAUACCGUAUACGUCCUUCGGGAGAAAGAUUUAUCGGAGAUGGAUGAGCCCGCGUUGGAUUAGCUAGUUGGUGGGGUAAUGGCCUACCAAGGCGACGAUCCAUAGCUGGUCUGAGAGGAUGAUCAGCCACACUGGGACUGAGACACGGCCCAGACUCCUACGGGAGGCAGCAGUGGGGAAUAUUGGACAAUGGGCGGAAGCCUGAUCCAGCCAUGCCGCGUGAGUGAUGAAGGCCCUAGGGUUGUAAAGCUCUUUCACCGGUGAAGAUAAUGACGGUAACCGGAGAAGAAGCCCCGGCUAACUUCGUGCCAGCCGCCGCGGUAA
rnacentral:rRNA from 1 species